rnacentral:rRNA from 1 species
AACAAACGCUGGCGGCAUGCCUAAUACAUGCAAGUCGAACGGAAGUAGCAAUACUUCAGUGGCGAACGGGUGAGUAACACGUAAGUAACCGACCUCAAAGACGAGGAUACCCUCUGGAAACGGAGGCUAAAACUGGAUAGGACGAGAGCCCAAAAGGGCAUUCGUUUAAAGGUGCAAUUGCACUGCUAUGAGACGGGCUUGCGGCGCAUUAGCUAGUUGGUGAGAUAAUAGCCCACCAAGGCAACGAUGCGUAGCUGCGCUGAGAGGCGGAACAGCCACACUGGGACUGAGACACGGCCCAGACUCCUACGGGUGGCAG